UACGAAGGGGGCUAGCGUUGCUCGGAAUUACUGGGCGUAAAGGGCGCGUAGGCGGCCAGCACAAGUCAGUUGUGAAAUCUCCGGGCUUAACUCGGAAAGGUCAACUGAUACUGUGCGGCUAGAGUGCAGAAGGGGCAACUGGAAUUCUCGGUGUAGCGGUGAAAUGCGUAGAUAUCGAGAGGAACACCUGCGGCGAAGGCGGGUUGCUGGGCUGACACUGACGCUGAUGCGCGAAAGCCAGGGGAGCGAACGGG
rnacentral:rRNA from 1 species